rnacentral:rRNA from 1 species
CCGGAAUGGACGAACCAAUGGUGUUCCAGUUGUCGCGCCAGCGGCAUUGCUGGGUAGCUAAGUUCGGAAUGGAUAACCGCUGAAAGCAUCUAAGCGGGAAGCCAACCUCGAGAUAAGAUAUCCCUUAAAUAUGGAAACAUAUUUAACUGAAGACCCCUUGAAGACGACAAGGUUGAUAGGCCGGGUGUGUAAGCACAGUAAUGUGUUCAGCUUACCGGUACUAAUCGGUCGUGCGGCUUGGCCAU